rnacentral:lncRNA from 1 species
UUUUAAAAAACGGAUCAUACUAUCAUCAUAGUAUGAUGGCCGUUGGUCAAGCGGGCCCCCAUCGUCUAGUGGUUUAGGACAUCUCUCUUUCAAGGAGGCAGCGGGGAUUCGAAUUCCCCUGGGGGUAGGGUACUACGAAAGGAAAUUGAUCAUGGAUUACCAAUAAGUUGAAAAUUGAUUCUUCCUGGGUCGAUGCCCGAGCGGUUAAUGGGGACGGACUGUAAAUUCGUUGGCAAUAUGUCUACGCUGGUUCAAAUCCAGCUCGGCCCAAUAAUUCGCCAAUCCGCCAUGAGAUGAUAUAACUCCCUUUGUACUUCAGAAAUACCCGAUCCGGAGAUAAAAAAGAAUCAAAUUUUCUGCUAGAUCCCGUAUUUCCCUGGGAUUGUAGUUCAAUUGGUCAGAGCACCGCCCUGUCAAGGCGGAAGCUGCGGGUUCGAGCCCCGUCAGUCCCGACGGAUCCAAUAAAUAUAUCAAAAAAUCUCUCCCUUUUUCUGAAGGGGACCGGGGGAAGAAUUCCAUUGUCAAAGCAAAGGGGAAAUCCUUAUUUCUUUUUUCUUUCCUUUUGGUAGGAGAAAGACAUAUGCGGUUGGAUUAGUACAAUUAUUGGUAGCAUUAUAGUCAGUAUUCCAAGAAAUGCUGGCUUUUUCGAUUGCCCCCGAUGCAUGUAAUGGAAUCGAGUACUAUACUUUUUUGAGGCGCGCAUACACAAAAGGAAUUCCUUUGUUGUCCAAUACAAAAUUGAAUAUAAGAAAAUACUUUCCAGAAAAAACAAAAAAAAAAAAAAAACAAUUUCUUUUUCUGGCUACGGAUUUAUGGAACCUGACUUACUAGUUUGAAGUUGCAAAAUAGAUUUCAUGCAAAUUGCACACUGAGCUUUUGGUAUAGGUGUCCCGGGGCUAAUAAUCGACGAAGAAAGGAGGGGGAAGGACAGAUCAACCAAAGAUCCUACUCCUCUUAGAAAGGCGAAUGAAUCAUUUUUCCUAUUUUUCAUUUUGUUUUAAGGCCCCAUCGACGAACGAACAAAUCGGAAAAUAGUCAAUUUGAUGAAUAUUCAUUUUAUACGGUCUCAUCUUUAUCACACUUCUUUGUCUUCCAAGUCAAAAAUAGUUUCGUUCUAAACUCCUUUCUUUUUCCAUUUAGCUUUUAUUGUUUGUUUGGGUUUGUAACUAUGUGACCACUGGAAGUGGAAGAGCUAUUUGAUGAGACUUCAUCAGAUGAUUGUACAAGAAGGAACUAGAUAGAUUAGAGAGAAAAAAAGAACAGAUAAUAAAAAAUGAUAAAUAAAUAAAGGAAUUUUGGGUUAGGUCAGCAAUCCGAGUUUGGGGCGGUAUGGAUAAAAGAACUUCCUAUGUUAUACUAUUCAAUUCUCGACGACGAAUUUAUUUGAUAGUUCAGAUAUUGUUAUUCAUGAUAUUGAUCUGAUUCAAGAUCAUCGAGAGGUAAUAUUCAUUCAUUGAAUUUACAGGCCAAAGAUUUAUCAUCUCUAUGGGAUUAAAUCCCGAGUUAUUGCGAAGUAAAAAACCGAUGAGAUUAUGGAAGUAAAUAUUCUUGCAUUUAUUGCUACUGCACUAUUUAUUCUAGUUCCUACCGCUUUUCUACUUAUCAUUUAUGUAAAAACAGUCAGUCAAAACGAUUAAUUAUUAACUAAUUUGAAUGAAACUUGACUUCUGAGUUCUUAGCCAAAAUUGACGAAAUAAAAUGAAAAAGAUUCCAAUUUCAUGUCUUAAAUGAAAUGAGUGGACUAGAAUCGGCAGUAUUCUAAUAGAUAGAUAGUAUGGUAGAAAGAUUCAUCUAUUUCUUUCUACCAUACUAUUUAUUAGUUAGAUUCUUGUUAUAAAGCUGCCCCCUGGAAUAAAAUAAAGAUAGAGGCUGCAUUUGAUAUGGAUCUAUAUAUCAAUCUACAAUAUUAUCUUGAUAUAUGUGAAUAUCAAUUCCAUAUAUGGGAUUGACAUAGCAUCCAAUUCCAUUUAUUUGCUAUAUCUAUUUGUUCUGAUCAAUCUGAAUUACUCCUAUGUCUUAUAGUUUGAAUUACUAUAUUUUUGAUUUCCAAUAUGAAUCUCAGUAUCUAUUGAGAGAAUCAAAUCAAUGAAGCAAAAGCGAUAGAUAUAGGCAUAUUCAAAAAAUCACGUAGUAAUCUUUUUUUUUUUAACAUUCCUAAGAAGUAAACCAUUGACAGUAGUUCCACGGGCAUCGAAAAGGAAGAGUAAACCUCACUGAUUUUUAAGGCCUGAACCAUGAUAUGAAAUAAGUCGAUAAAGUCUAAAUCCAAUUUCCAAAAUUCGAAAGGUAAAUGCGCAAUAUGUGACUCACCUGACGAUCUUAUUCUAAAUAGUAUCUCGUUAGACAACCACUAUGUUUAUAUCCUUUCUUUCUCAUACAAAGUGCGUAUACACUUAACAAAACCACUUUUUCUUUGAACAGUAAAGAGAGAACCAAAUAAAAAACGGGUCCGGCCCUCCUCAGUAUCACCUAGGAAGAGGCCAUUGAUUGGAAUAGAAAA